CGUCUGAUUCGGGGAUUUUUUUUGCAAACUGGGCUUAUUUGUGGAGUUUGCUGCGAAGUCAUGUAUACUUAUUGAUAACGUUUCAUAGCGGUUCAGUGAAUAUUUGCAGUGAAUGUUCACUUUAAAACACGAUUGAUAGCGUUGCCGAAAACGGGUGCAUGGGUGCAAAUAUGGUUUGCAAUAUGCUAUAUAUCAUAAAAAGAUGAUCGUGGAGAGGUGUGGUUUGAAUAUCUCAGACGAAUCGAGCGGAGCGGCAUGCAUUGGAACUAAUUGGUCCGUCUGCCAAUGGCACUCUAUCGCCAACCAUUAUAUCACUAUUGCAGUAUCCUUUCGCUAAAACGACUACAGACAUGCAUAAGCUAAAACCGUUGUGCAAGUGGACUACCAAACGGAGCAGGACGAGAUGGCAGCCCAAUGUCCUUACCC